UCAUGUUCUUGCAUAGGGAGCUACAUAUGAGACAUGAAUUUGAAAUGUUUUUGUGUCAUAUGAUAUUUUAUGGUGUUUGUAAACUCUUUUCUCGCUUACAUGUACAUCAUGCCAUGCUUUGUUUGAUGGCCCUGGACUGAUUUUGUCUUGUAAACAAGGAGGAUGCCCAACGAGGGAACGUCAGUGGUGGGCAAGAAGUGGCUUCCACUAGCAGCUCCCAUGAGAUCAAUUCUGACAGCAUAAGUAAAUGGAUCUUCAAAGUGCUUCAAUGUGAAGGAUAUUAUCCAAAGGCAUCCCCGUGGGAAAGAAAAAGAUGAAGAGUAUAACACAAACUCGACGAUAACGACAGAAACCAGAUGCCUUCUGACAACUUUUGUGUUUGCGGAAAUAGUCAAGAUUUUCACCUAGCGAGAUAGCACUAUUCUCAUUCAUCAUGGCAAUAUACAUGGUUCCAGCUCAGACAGCAAGAAGGAAGAGUUCACUGGCAGACUCCAUGGGAUACUUUUUGGUGACUAGACCAAUCAGUACAAGUGUGGAAUCCCACCUGGCUGAAGAGAGGAAUGACAAGAAGCGGAGACGACCAUACCAUUUGGGCAUAGGAGAACGCAACUACUCAUCUCAGUUUUUCAUUGUUGUGGAUGAUCUAGCUAUCCCCUGUGAAGGUGACAUCACAGAGGCUGUUGACAAACUGUUUAAGGUCCAAUUCUUGUUCAACAUCCACUACGCAGAUGAAGUCUAUGGAUUUUUUCCGAGGAUUUUUUGCAUUCAUACAGAACUUUGUUUACGGCAUAAGUGAACAAGAAGCAGUUCCAGCCCAUGCCAGAGAAAUGAUGGCAAGCAUCACUGCCUUGGAAGUGAAUGCAAACAAAUGACUGACUUCAGUAUUGCCUGUCCUCAAACGAGCGUAAUUAACUCAAGAGGGUGUGGAGGUCACAUGGUAGGAUCAAAGAUCGUUUGUAUUCAUGAAGUGCUGGCUGAUAUUUUUUCUGUUCCCACUUGGAACAUUCUUCCCUGUUUAAGUUGAUAGAGGAUGUUCACUUUUUAAAUGUGAACAAUUCUAUAAUCAAUGGAAGAUCACUGUUGAAUAAAUUUGGGUUUAUUCAUCCUCGAAUAUUCCAGGAUAUUCUCAUAUUUUUAAAAGAAAAAAAUCUUGGUCAGUACUGUAUGUUAAAUAAAUUUACCUUGAACACAUCUCUUACAGUGCAUAUAUAAAAAAUAACCCUUUUGAAAAUAAUUUUCACAAUCACAUUUGAAAAUAUGAAGAUGAUUUUUUUUAAUGGCUUUUGGUACUCUAUAGUCUCUUCUAUCAAAUGCUGCUUGAGCGAGCGGUGACCAUUUUUGUCCAGAGUGUCAAAAAGUGCUUUGCGCCAAAAUUGAAAGAAAAGGAAAAAUUAAUUUAGCAGUCUGGUUAGGAUUCAUACUCAAAUCACUUGCUCUUUUGCGUACAUUUAUGAUCAUUUUAGAAAUGGAUAACUUUCCUAACCUUGGAAGAAUGGGGGGGGGGUGUUUAAUUGAAAUGAUAACUUCAUUUUAGGGGGAGGGUGUCCCACUUCUGACAAAGCCUGAUCCGGGAAUAGGUGUUCACGACUGCAUUGUGCAAUUAUCCUGGUGUCUCGGUAUUCAGAAGGGUGGUGAAGUUCGAUUUCUAAUAGGUAUCUUAGAUUUGGAGGUAAUCUGUGAUAGCAGUGAUAAAUGUUCUUGCUAUUGUUGGGGGGAGGGUCCCACUUCAAUUUUCCAUAUUUAUGAUCCCACAGUUCAUAGCCAGGGAAUAGAUCACAACUGCAUUGUGCGACCCUAGGUCUCUCUUGAAGUAUGAUUUCAUUCAUGAAAGUACCCACCAAUAAAUAGACAAUGUCAAGCUGAUAAUAUAAAUAAAAUUAAUUGAACUUACUACUUUUUCUUUCUUGGUAUGUACAUACCUUCUUUAACAACCAAGCAGUAAUCAGGGAUAUUUCAUAAACAUGAAGAUGUUAUAGUGUUUUAGCAAACAUUGUCCUAGACACCAUGGAGUAAGGAUCUUUAUUUCACUCAUAUUUUCAUUACAAAAUAUUCGCUAUUACAGUAAUCAAGGGCAGGUAAUGAUAGAUUAGAUGAUGUAAGAAGAUAAAGAUAGACAAAGAUAGUUUUCAUGGUUUUGGUAAAGAAAACUUUAAAAAUAGAACUUGAUCUACAUUUGAUAGGCUACUAUAUCCAAAGUAUUUCGGAACAAUUUUCAUUUAUACUUUGAACCUAAGUUAGAUAACAAUGCAUACACUAUAUAGAUUUGUUCAGAGGCCCUCUAAACAAGAUGCAGAAACGGUAUAUAAUAAUUAUUUGUAAAGACUGGAACACAAGUUAACAGUGAUUUAUUACAAAAACUGAGUAUGAAUACAUUUGGAAUCAGACGUUAAUAACACCAAUUGUUUUUAUAAACUUGUAAAUGGUAUAUUCAAUUUUAGAAAUAAUCCUCAUCUAUUUAUAAUGCAAUUUUCCUUUCACAGUUUUUAUGUUUAUAUUGUGUGUAAUUAUGUUUAUGUCAUACAUUUUUAUUUUGUUAUCCAGGAAGCAAACCU
rnacentral:lncRNA from 1 species